CUGUAUGUAGCUAGCUAGCUACUGAACUGCACAUUUCUCACCGCAGUUCGUACUGAAUCAGGGGCUAUAUGAUGUCGUAUCAAAACUACUGUUGAUGAAAGGAUCCAUUCCCACUAUUCAGGACCCUCUCCCAAGCAUUGAAACGGGAGCCAUUACACGUUUCCCAGGCCAGUACCUCCCGGAGUAUUGGCUGCCAGACUGACCCCCUUCCUAAAAGAUCUGUUGGAACCCAACUAUCCAAGGACACUACUAAGACUCAGAGGUACUAAGCAGAGACUCUAUCUCUCAGCAUCCCACUUCAAUGAGAAUGCCAACCGGCCACAGUCAACAGUGCUCCGGGAGAUCCUGCCCUUAAACUGGCCUUCCCUAAAGCAGCAAAUGGGGAUAAAGCCUCAAAUGAGGGAAA